CGCACAUUGCGCCCCUUGGUAUUCCGGGGGGCAUGCCCGUUCGAGCGUCAUUACACCAAUCCAGCCCAGCUGGGUGUUGAGCUUUGGGGGUUACCCAGGCUUCAAAGUCGUCGGCCGUGACGGUCCUGAAACGCAGCGUCGUGAUUAUACCAUUCGCUGGCGAAGAAGGGCGUCCGCGCCGGAAACACUUUUCUCAGGUUGACCUCGGAUCGGGUAGGGAUACCCGCUGAACUUAA
rnacentral:misc_RNA from 1 species